rnacentral:rRNA from 1 species
GACGAACCGUGCGAACGUUAUUCGGAAUCACUGGGCUUAAAGCGCGUGUAGGCGGGCCGGCACGUCGGAUGCUGAAAGCCCCCGGCUCAACCGGGGAACGGGCACCGAAACGACUGGCCUGGAGGGGGGAAGGGGGAGCCGGAACUUCCGGUGGAGCGGUGAAAUGCGUUGAGAUCGGAAGGAACGCCCGUGGCGAAAGCGGGCUCCUGGACCGCACCUGACGCUGAGACGCGAAAGCCAGGGGAGCAAACGGG